rnacentral:snRNA from 1 species
UCGGGAAUCUUCUCUUCCA